UACGUAGGCAGCAAGCGUUGUUCGGAGUUACUGGGCGUAAAGGGUGUGUAGGCGGCUUUUUUAAGUUUGGUGUGAAAUCUCCCGGCUCAACCGGGAGGGUGCGCCGAAUACUGAGAGGCUAGAGUGCGGGAGAGGAAAGUGGAAUUCCUGGUGUAGCGGUGAAAUGCGUAGAUAUCAGGAGGAACACCGGUGGUGUAGACGGCUUUCUGGACCGUAACUGGACGCUGAAACACGAAAGCGUGGGUAGCAAACAGG
rnacentral:rRNA from 1 species